AUCUUGGAAUGACGUAUUUCUAUGAAGCUUCCAAGAUCCAUCUGGCCACUCAUUUAGCUGCACCUGUGUGGCCACUGGCACACUCAGGCAGGUCUGGCUGGUUCAAGGAACCUCCUGAAGCCCUCACUUAAACUUCUUUCUCCUUCUUCUUUUUUAAUGGCUCCUUUCUUCUUUCUAGGUAAAAGUGUGAAUGUUUCUUGUGGAAGAAAAGUGUAAGAGACUGACUGGAUACCCGAUGAUGCCUUUCUGAACCCAAAGUAGGAACCCCUGUGUGUUGACACAUAAUCCGGUGAGGGAGUGGAAAGAGCUGACACGGGUCAUGUUCAGCAAAGCCUGGUCACAAAACCCUGCCCCUCCAGAGGAGGAGCAGGUAGAGUCGGAAAGAAGGGCCCCACUGCUCCACCCCCCUGCUGCUGGCUCUCACCAUGACCCUGACACGGGUUAAGAAGGAGGGGGGCUGAAGGGGCGGGAGCAACAGAGCAGAUAUUGCCCCUUCCUACCUCCUGUAUAAUAUGAAAAGGCCCUCUGGGAGCUGCAUACCUGAGGUUCUCAGCAAUUGCCUUAAUUAGAGUUGGUACUUUGGCAAGGGCUCAUGGCUAGAAGUCACUGAAACUGGAGACCAGACACAGGAGAGGGAGGGCAGGAGAGAGUGGGAGUGGCAAAAGGAAGGAAAGGAGGCUGAUAAGGGAAGUGAGGAAGGCACCAGGGUUACCCUUUGCCCUGGGCUGGCAGCGCCAGAGGCUGCUCAUUCCUCCGGUCUUAUCUUGCCCUUACAUUCUGUUCCAGAAGUCAGCUCCCUUUCCUUUCCAGGGGAAAUUCAGCAGAGGAGUAGGUGCACUCACUGCUGGUCUCCCCAGAGAACGGUCUGUAGCAGCGAGGACUCUGCAGCUGAGAAGUAUCUCGACCACAGAAGGCUGAUUGGCCCCAGGGCACCUAUCCUGCUCCUCCUCUAACUCAAGGCCACCCUGAAGGCCCGUCACCGCUUGGGACUCCCUGGGGGUGUCCCUUUGGUCUUGCUUCCUUCCCUCCAGGGUAGAUCCCAAGUAAUCAACUUCCCGCUCAUUAGUCUCAGUCUUAAGACUGACUCUUCCCCAGAGAAUCCAAAACCUCGACAGAUACCUACUUUGUGGAUUAUUAAAUAUUUUUGAUAACUUGGACCGAGGCUCUCUUUACUGGAGAGAGCAAACCCAAGUGGUGUCUUUCACUUUGACCUACGGAAUCUCCACAACUAGAUCGGGCGUCGCUACAACCUGAGCGCAUCUACGGCGGUGCUGGAUCCCGCUCGGCGUCCGCAGGGUGGGGGGCCCAGCGGACUCCUCGGCGCGGGGUGGGG
rnacentral:lncRNA from 12 species